rnacentral:rRNA from 1 species
AUUGAACGCUGGCGGCAGGCCUAACACAUGCAAGUCGAGCGAGCGGCGGACGGGUGAGUAAUGUCUGGGAAACUGCCUGAUGGAGGGGGAUAACUACUGGAAACGGUAGCUAAUACCGCAUACCAUCAGAUGUGCCCAGAUGGGAUUGGCUGGUAGGUGGGGUAACGGCUGACCUAGGCGACGAUGCCUCGCUGGUCUGAGAUGAUGACCAGGCACACUGGAACUAAGACACGGUGCAGACUCCUACGGGAGGCAGCAGUGGGGGAUAUUGCACAAUGGGCGCAAGCCUGAUGCAGCCGUGCCGCGUGUAUGAAGAAGGCCUUCGGGUUGUAAAGUUCUUUCAGCGGGGAGGCGUUACCCGCAGAAGAAGCACCGGCUAACUCCGUGCCAGCAGCCGCGGUAAUAC